rnacentral:rRNA from 1 species
UACGUAGGGUGCGAGCGUUGUCCGGAAUUAUUGGGCGUAAAGAGCUCGUAGGCGGCUUGUCGCGUCGGAUGUGAAAGCCCGGGGCUUAACUCCGGGUCUGCAUUCGAUACGGGCAGGCUAGAGUUCGGCAGGGAAGACUGGAAUCCCUGGUGUAGCGGUGAAAUGCGCAGAUAUCAGGAGGAACACCGGUGGCGAAGGCGGGUCUCUGGGCCGAUACUGACACUGAGGAGCGAAAGCGUGGGGAGCGAACAGG